rnacentral:rRNA from 1 species
GACGAACGCUGGCGGCGUGCUUAACACAUGCAAGUCGAACGGUAAGGCCUUUCGGGGUACACGAGUGGCGAACGGGUGAGUAACACGUGGGUGAUCUGCCCCCUACUCUGGGAUAAGCCUGGGAAACUGGGUCUAAUACUGGAUAUGAGCUCUUGGUGCAUGCCUUGGGUUGGAAAGUUUUUCGGUAGGGGAUGAGCCCGCGGCCUAUCAGCUUGUUGGUGGGGUAAUGGCCUACCAAGGCGACGACGGGUAGCCGGCCUGAGAGGGCGACCGGCCACACUGGGACUGAGACACGGCCCAGACUCCUACGGGAGGCAGCAGUGGGGAAUAUUGCACAAUGGGCGCAAGCCUGAUGCAGCGACGCCGCGUGGGGGAUGACGGCCUUCGGGUUGUAAACCUCUUUCAGUCGGGACGAAGAGCAAUUGACGGUACCGAUAGAAGAAGCACCGGCCAACUACGUGCCAGCAGCCGCCGUAACAC